rnacentral:misc_RNA from 1 species
GUGAAUCAUCGAAUCUUUGAACGCAAAUUGCACUCUUUUCUGUGCGUAGGCCUGUGUCAGGGUCAGCCUAAAAAAAAUCGACAUAGUCGCUGUUUCGCGGUGACAUUCGCCGGAAAUUGGGUGAUCUUAAACCUCUCGGUUUUAAGCGGCUUAAAAUUUUAUUUACGAUUUCACGAACGUUUUUAAUAUUUUACUCCUUACACACGAUUAAGGUAUCG